rnacentral:lncRNA from 1 species
UCGCAUGAAUUUUCUGCCUUACAUCACUACUCUCAUUUACUUCAAUUAUAUUCUUAGUUGUAUAUUUAUGCAAUGCUUGAUCACUGCUUGAUCAUACACUGGAAUCUCUUCAAUCACUACCCCAUGCCUUCUCACAUCCUUAGCGGUGUCAACAUGUUAGGAAAAAGGACAGAAAUCUAUGCUUCACCCAAAUUGACUAUAUAGAACAUCAUCAAUAGUGCGCCGAUGAUAAAGGUAAAUGGUAAUCUCCCUCACAUUAGGCACUAGGUAUCAG